GACCUCAGUUCAUGUGAGAUUACCGGCUGAAUUUAAGCAUAUUACUAAGCCGAGGAAAAGAAACUAACAAGGAUUCCCCUAGUAGCAGCGAGCGAACAGGGAAGAGCCCAGCGCUGAAUCCCCCGGGCCUCGCUCGGCGGGAAAUGUAGCGUUUGGGAGGGCCCGUCAACACGGCGACUCGCUCACUGGUUCAAGUCCAACUUGAAUGGGGCCACACAGAGGGUGACAGGCCCGUAGAGCAGGAGCGGUUGUCGUGUGGGUCUCUCCUUAGAGUCGGUUUGCUUGAGAGUGCAGACUUAAGUGGGUGGUAAACUCCAUCUAAGGCUAAAUAUGACCACGAGACCGAUAGCACACAAGUACCGUGAGGGAAAGGUGAAAAGAACUUUGAAGAGAGAGUUCAAGAGUACGUGAAACUGAAGUGGUGUAAACGGACGAGUUCGAAAAGUCCGAAUGGUGAGAUUCAAGCUUACCGUGCCGGUGGCCCUCGGGUUCAGAUGGCGUCGUCAGCUCGGGCUUCGGUUCGGGUCAUACGGCGUCACUCGUCCUGGGGGUAUCUGUCUGGUGCGGUGGGCUGCACUUCUCGCCUAGUAGGACGUCGCGACCCGUUGGGAUGUUCCGUUCACUGGCCCCUGGUGGAGCCCGCGCCGGAGCGUGGCCUUGUGCCGCGUUGCUGUUUGCACGGACCCGGGGUGACCUGAUCGGCGCCCGACGGUAUCAAAGCUUGGGAAGAGGCCGCACAGAGGAUGCGUUCGAUGGCCGUUUCGGCCUACACUCGGACAGGCCUGCACCCGGUCAGCGGCGCUUCUGCUUUCGAUACUCGUCCGACCCGUCUUGAAACACGGACCA
rnacentral:rRNA from 1 species